rnacentral:rRNA from 1 species
AUGGCGACCGGCGCACGGGUGAGUAACACGUAUCCAACCUGCCGAUGACUCGGGGAUAGCCUUUCGAAAGAAAGAUUAAUACCCGAUGGCAUAGUUCUUCCGCAUGGUAGAACUAUUAAAGAAUUUCGGUCAUCGAUGGGGAUGCGUUCCAUUAGGUUGUUGGCGGGGUAACGGCCCACCUAGUCAACGAUGGAUAGGGGUUCUGAGAGGAAGGUCCCCCACAUUGGAACUGAGACACGGUCCAA